rnacentral:lncRNA from 1 species
GGGAGGCCGGUCGGGGCUGGGCUCAGGGGCCGAGACCUAGCUGGGCUUGGGGCGGGGCCGAGACGGAGCGAGGGGUCCAGGGCGUGGGAAACGGGGAGGGGUUUGAGGAGGGGAUCGGAAUGUGGCUCAAGUUCGGGAGGCGUUACCUGCGGAGGGUUUGAGGCAGGUCCAGGAGCGAGCCCACGGUCCGCCGACGCGGGACCAGGGGCGGGCCCCAGGAUCCGGAGCUUCGGGCGGGGCCGAGUCCGGGUUUGGGGCCCGGAAGGCGGGGCCAGUUAGGGCGAGGGUCCCUGGGAUCGUCAGGUCAGGCCUUGGGCUAACGUAGGCACUCUCGCAGUUCCUCCGCCUUCAGGAAAGUCUUUUUAGCAGGGGCCUUACGGGUUCGCGCUUUGGUCCUGGAGGCCUUAUCCUAGCCUCCUCUGUAUCAGCGCCACCAGUCUGGGGCCCGAAAGGAGGGAGCUUUCCCUCUGUCCCCCAGCCUUUGGACUGUCACCAAACAAGCCAUUCGUUCACCAAAUACUUAUUAAGCGCCUACCAUGUGCCUGACAAGGGAGAUGUAACGAUAGAGUCUCUCUCUCUGCCACCCAGGCCAGAGUGCAGUUGACGCAGGGCAGGGGAGCCCCGAAGUGGAGCAUAGUGUGUCCGGAACUGGUGGGUUCUUGGUCUCCCUGACUUCAAGAAUGAAGCCACGGACCCUCGGGAAACUCCUGGAGGGCAGAGGCAUGCCUGCCAUCUUCAUCAUUGCAUUACCACCACCCAACACUAUCGGGGGACCUGCCCUGAUAAUCAGUCUACAGGUGUAUCCAGCAGCUCCAGAGAGACAGCGACCAGCGAGAAGGGGCCAUGAUGAUGGUGGUGGUUUUGUCAAAACGAAAAGGGGGAUAUGUAGGGAAAAGAAAGAGAGAUCAGACUGUUACUGUGUCUACAUAGAAAGGGAAGCCAUAAGAGACUCCAUUUUGAA